UCCAAAGAGACGAUCUAUGUAUUCUUCGAAGACUUGUAUUGGUGAGCGCCACGUUGGAGUUCAGAACUUAAUUGAACGGGUUCCUGGUCUUCAAGCCUUGUUUGAGAACGGCGGUCUUUAUGCGAUUAGCGAUUUUCCCGAACAAUCUGGAUAUUGUUUGGAAUUAAUUCGGGAAUUCUAUAUGCGAGCGGGAUAUUUGGAAGAUUCUGAUGGUGGACCGUUCAUCUUUAAGACCAAAGUGCGUGGCAUCGAGUUGACAAUUAUG
rnacentral:lncRNA from 1 species